GCCCAGACUCCUACGGGAGGCAGCAGUGGGGAAUAUUGCACAAUGGGGGGAAGCCUGAUGCAGCGACGCCGCGUGGGUGAAGGAGAACCUCGGUGCGUAAAGCCCUAUCGGCAGGGAAGAAACAGACGGUACCUGACUAAGAAGCCCCGGCUAACUACGUGCCAGCAGCCGCGGUAAUACGUAGGGGGCAAGCGUUAUCCGGAUUUACUGGGUGUAAAGGGAGCGUAGACGGCAUAGCAAGUCUGAAGUGAAAGCCCAAGGCUCAACCAUGGGACUGCUUUGGAAACUGUUAAGCUAGAGCGCUGGAGAGGUAAGCGGAAUUCCUAGUGUAGCGGUGAAAUGCGUAGAUAUUAGGAAGAACACCAGUGGCGAAGGCGGCUUACUGGACAGUAACUGACGCUGAGGCGCGAAAGCGUGGGGAGCAAACAGGAUUAGAUACCCUAGUAACC
rnacentral:rRNA from 1 species